rnacentral:rRNA from 1 species
GACGUAGGGGGCCAGCGUUGCUCGGAAUUACUGGGUGUAAAGGGUUCGUAGGCGGUGUGGCAAGUCGGGAGUGAAAUCUCUAGGCUCAACCUAGAGUCUGCUUCCGAAACUGCUGUGCUUGAGUGUGGGAGAGGCGCGUGGAAUUGCAGGUGUAGCGGUGAAAUGCGUAGAUAUCUGCAGGAACACCCGUGGCGAAAGCGGCGCGCUGGACCACUACUGACGCUGAGGAACGAAAGCUAGGGGAGCAAACAGG